ACCUGUUAGCAACCGUCACAGCUGUUCCUCGUUGUAUCUGAUUGAUCUGGCCUUCCAGGCCUACCUCCGCUCACCGGCUAACUUCCGCUAGCCUGCCCGUUCGAUACCUUCAAUUUGUGUUGUUUUCCAUCUGCUGUCUUGGGAUCAGACUGUGUGAUGUGCUGUCAGAUGUUUCCAUCUAAAGAUUGGAAGACAAGCAUUCAAGCCAUCACAUUCAUGUCAGUGGAUGUAUACUGCUCACUCGCCCACAAAGAUGACAAAAGUCUGAGGAGCUUGAUCAAGUGCGAAUGACACAAAUGGCAAUUUCUCCUAGAAACUUUUCAAGAUGGAAAAUGCAAGAAAACAUGUGAUUCAAGAAAAAACCCUCCCUCCAUCCUGCCUUUUGUAUCAAAUUUAAUUACAGCAGCCAGAUUCCCAGAUGGCCCCGGUGAGCCAAGGCUUUGGUGCUGUAAACACAUCCUUCCUGGACAGAUAGAUGUACAUGUUCUGCAAGAUGUUCAGUGACCGUGCGCUGCAGGAAAAUGGACUCCCCUGGCGGCUAACCCCGAUCUGUCAUCCCUCAUCCAUCACGGAGCAUCCAGCAGCCCCGGAGCACACUACGGCUGUUGCCUCCUCCCCUCCGGCAGAGAGGGGCAU